UACGUAGGGUGCAAGCGUUAAUCGGAAUUACUGGGCGUAAAGCGUGCGCAGGCGGCUAUGCAAGACAGAUGUGGAAAUCCCCGGGCUCAACCUGGGAACUGCAUUUGUGACUGCAUGGCUAGAGUACGGUAGAGGGGGAUGGAAUUCCGCGUGUAGCAGUGAAAUGCGUAGAUAUGCGGAGGAACACCGAUGGCGAAGGCAAUCCCCUGGGCCUGCACUGACGCUCAUGCACGAAAGCGUGGGGAGCAAACAGG
rnacentral:rRNA from 1 species